GCCGAAGUGGUGAAAUUGGUAUACACGCUUGGCUUAGGACCAAGUGGGCUAGUCCCGUGAGAGUUCGAGUCUCUCCUUCGGCA
rnacentral:tRNA from 1 species